UCAAUAUUUAUGGAAAAAAUAAUGUGGGUGUUGGUACAAACAGUCCCUCAUGUCACAUCCUAUCUAAACUGAGAGAAAAGCUGUCUCUAGCACAGUUAACCGAUUGGCAAGAAAUGCAGGUUAUAGUACGAGGUGUAGUCUAAAUGAGCACCUGCACUGUUCACCAUUACCAAAUUUCCUUAUAAUUUCCAAUACAUCGAAUUAAAUAGUACUGUAGUAACUUGUUCAUGUUAUGUUAUAUUGCGUGAGAGGAAAGCAACAAGUGUAGCUCUGAUAAACUUCACAAUCAUAUGAUGAGCUUUCAGGCAAAUCCAUUGCCAUGAUUGAAUGCUAUUUUCACUUUAUCUUGUUGAUUUUCUGGACAAGGAUCAGUCUUGUCUGUCACGGUUCAUGAAGUGCACAUACUCAGUGUGUAUAUACAACUUCAGUCUAGAGUAGCCAUGUCCUCCUCUACACUACAACCCAUGCACUUGACAUGUCAUUCAGAAAGCUGAAGAACAGUACUUGUGCACUCCAAAGCAUUGAUACUGUGUUCUUUUUAUUUGAUAUGACGGAUCCUUUGAACUAUCUGCCUUAAAUUGUUCUAGUUGCAUUCCAUUGAUCUAGAUCCAGCAUGUUGGAAUUUGUUUCAUUGACCUCAUUUCUUCUCUUGUAUCAGUCUUUUGACAAGAAGGGAUCUGGUGCAUUGCUGGUGGCCAAAUAUACGCAAAGCCUCUUACUAUGAUCCACUAUGGAUUUGGAGAGCUCUCACUCUGUCAAGAAUAUGUAAGGAGGAAAAUAGUGCCAAAUAAAUUUCUACCUUCAAUGAGUUGCAAUAUUUUUCUUGUUGCACUCUUACAGCAUGAAUGUUGUUGCAGACAUAAAUGUUAAGAUAUGUUCAGGUGCUAUCUUUUCUGAGCUUUUUAUAUCCAUCAACCAUGCUUUCUUCUCAUCCAUCUUCCCAGAUCGCAUUUUCUUUGUUAUUUUCUUGACCUUGCAAGGCUUAUACACAAGGUUCUUCUUUCAAUGGCCGCCCUCUACUCCGUACUCAUGCAUUUUUUUCAGACAUCAUCUCACCCUCCACUCCACUUUCUUCAUUAGUAUAUAUCCCUCCUGAGCUUGUACUCCAAUAAUGUGAAAUAUAUUAUAUGAUCUUUGCAUAACCUUCAUUGAUUUUAUCCA